UACGUAGGGACCAAGCGUUGUUCGGAUUCAUUGGGCGUAAAGGGUGCGUAGGCGGCGCGGUAAGUCGGGUGUGAAAUCUCGGAGCUUAACUCCGAAACUGCAUUCGAUACUGCCGUGCUUGAGGACUGGAGAGGAGACUGGAAUUUACGGUGUAGCGGUGAAAUGCGUAGAUAUCAGGAGGAACACCAAUGGCGAAGGCAGCUCGCUGGGACGUGACUGACGCUGAGACGCGAAAGCGUGGGGAGCAAACAGG
rnacentral:rRNA from 1 species